CGAUAGCGUAUAUUAAAGUUGUUGCAGUUAAAAAGCUCGUAGUUGGAUUUCGGGGCAGCCUGGCUGGUCCGCCGCAAGGCGAGUACUGGUCAGCCGCCCUUCCUCUCGAAAGCCCCGACUGCUCUUCGUUGCAGUGGUCGGGUAGUUCGGGACGUUUACUUUGAAAAAAUUAGAGUGUUCAAGGCAGGCCUACGCCUGAAUACAUUAGCAUGGAAUAAUGGAAGAGGACCUCGGUCCUAUUUUGUUGGUUUCCAGGGCCGAAGUAAUGAUUAAGAGGGACAGUUGGGGGCAUUCGUAUUUAAUUGUCAGAGGUGAAAUUCUCGGAUUUAUGAAAGACGAACAACUGCGAAAGCAUUUGCCAAGGAUGUUUUCAUUAA
rnacentral:rRNA from 1 species